CCUACGGGAGGCAGCAGUGGGGAAUAUUGGACAAUGGGGGCAACCCUGAUCCAGCCAUGCCGCGUGUGUGAAGAAGGCCCUCGGGUUGUAAAGCACUAUCAGUGAGGAAGAACGCCUGGUGGUUAAUACCCAUCAGGAAAGACAUCACUCACAGAAGAAGCACCGGCUAACUCCGUGCCAGCAGCCGCGGUAAUACGGAGGGUGCGAGCGUUAAUCGGAAUUACUGGGCGUAAAGCGCGCGUAGGUGGCUUGAUAAGCCGGUUGUGAAAGCCCCGGGCUCAACCUGGGAACGGCAUCCGGAACUGUCAAGCUAGAGUGCAGGAGAGGAAGGUAGAAUUCCCGGUGUAGCGGUGAAAUGCGUAGAGAUCGGGAGGAAUACCAGUGGCGAAGGCGGCCUUCUGGACUGACACUGACACUGAGGUGCGAAAGCGUGGGUAGCAAACAGGAUUAGAUACCCUUGUAGUC
rnacentral:rRNA from 1 species